AAAAGUAAAGCAGCAGAGUGAAGCAAUCUGUCUACAGUGUGGGUGGGCCUUGGUCAAUCCAUUGAAAGCCUUCACAGGAAAGGACUGAAUUCUGCCAGCAGGUGGCCUUCAGACUUGAACUACAACGUCAGCUCUUCUCUGGGUCUCUGGCCUGCCACCCUAGCCUGCAGAUUUGGGACUUGCCAGCCUCCAGUCAUGAACACGACCAUCACCCCGGAAGUUCCCGUUGUGCUUCCAUUCACCAUCCAUCCACGAAACAGGAACACGAUCAUCAUGCCGGAAGUUCCCCUUGUGCUUCCAUCCACCCUCCAUCCCUCAAAGGCGCAACUACCCAAGAAGGCAUAAUGAAGGUGCCAGGACCCUGUAUGCCCGUAAUUAGUAAGUCUGGAUUCCAGAGAUGUAAGCAGACCAGACGCCAUGACACAAAAGAAGUUCCAAAAAAAUGAAAUGUCAGGAGGUGAGGGUGAAGAUUGAAAUAAAACCUGCUGUUUGGGCAAGACAUAACAGACUUGACUUAUUUGUAUGUGAUAACAGAAAGAAAGACUUUAAUUGGAGUAAGGAGAGUACCCUCAAGGCACACUGCAGCCUGUCAGUGGGGGAAAUAAGGAAGGUGAGCCUCAGUGUGCAGUGAUAAAGAACUCCCAUUUUAUGACACAGGCCAGGGUAGCUAUG